AUUAAAUUAAUAAGUCUUAUAUUCAAAAAAUGAUGUAAAAUUGCAAAUUUUAAGUUAUAAUUUAAAUAUUAU
rnacentral:tRNA from 1 species